UUUGAAUUGUAAUGAAAAACCAUCGCGGGCAGACUUUUUCGUUUUUCCCCUUUGCUGCUAACGCCUUCAGCCUUCUCUGAUCUCUCUCUCUGCUGCGAUCCCUUCCACCGACGGUAGCUUCCUCCCUGUCCGGCGACCGGUGUUGGCUGCGAUCGUCUCUUCCGGCUGCAUCAAAUUAGUUCAGCCAUUUGUCUUUCCAAUCCUUUCAUAACAGAAAGAUUUCCUUGUGCGUGGAACUCGACCCACUCGGUUGCCUGCAGAUUACUGUCCUGAUAAAGUGCCUCUGACGAUCGUUGAUACCUCGUCUAGUUGUCGAUCAUCUCAAUAUUGGGAUGUAAAUCCAGAUGAAUUUGAUUUCGAUGGAGAACACAAUUUAUGUACUGCUAACAUGGAUUUUUGUGAUCCUGUUAUUCCUUCUGAGGUGUUCGAUGAUGAUGAUAUCAUUGAAAGCAUUCAAGAAAAUCAAGAUAUUGGUGGAAGUGGAAGUGUAACGCAACUCUGACAAUAGAAGUAAUAUGUAUUAAUGUAUGAAUUAUGAAGUAUGACUAUAUGUAUGAAGUGUGAUUUUGUGAACUCAAAACUAGAUAUAUUUCUUGUUGAAUGUUGAACUUUCUGAUGAUUGAUAAAUGAUAAUGAUAUCAUGAUUAGCAAAUUGUAA